rnacentral:SRP_RNA from 1 species
UGCCCAGAAGGGCAUUGGUGUGGAUUUGGUCUUAACCCGCUCAGGCCCGGAAUGGAUGGUGCGGAGCUAUUUACAUUUGGCUUUCACAGGGAUGCUGACCU